rnacentral:rRNA from 1 species
AUUAUGAAAGCAAAAAAUUAUGGCGGUAUUUUAAGCUUUUCAGAGGAAUUUGCUCUUUAAUGGAUAAAACACCUAAAUCUUACUUAAAUUUGUUAAUUCAAUUUGUAUACCACUAUAAAAACAAUUUAUAACUUUAAUUGUUUAAAUUUAUUAAAUUAAAAUAUAUUAAGUCAAGGUGCAGUAAAAAUUUAAGAAUGAAGUGAAUUACAUUACUCUUUAGAGAAAUAAAUUUAAAAUAAUAUUUAGGAUUUGAAAGUAAAAUUAAAAUAG